AUGGUUUCAACUUUGAAGUGUAGAUGGGUGCGAUAACUUUAGGCUUUAGCAGUCUAGCGACUAGUUAGCUAAUUUUGGGGACCAGAUCUACAUUGGUAGAUUAAGCUAGCAUUAAUAUUGCAGUAAUUCAUAUUGUAGCUAAGCUAGGUAGGGAAAGAAAUUUCUAUGCGGCCUCUAAUUUUAAAAGGAUAAAUUCUGAAAAACUUCUGUGGUAAUAUAGACAUAGACAUGAUAUGUUGGGUUGAAGAAGCCUGUGCUGAAGAAGCAAGAGGAUAGUUGCCCCACAUGAAUGGCAAAGGGGGUGAUUGUUGGGUUGUUGCCAUUGCAUGUGCAGCAAAUGGACAGCACCAACCAUUGACUAUUGGCAGCCACCAUUGUUGAAGAAGAAGAGGAGUUGGCAGCCACCUUCGUUGAAGAAGAGCUGGAGUUGGCAGCCACCUUUGUUGACAAAAGAACAAGUGGAGCAGCACCAUUGUUGCCUAUAAAAGGGCACCGUGAGAGAGCAAAAUGCAAGAGAGAUGAGAGUGGUGAGAAUGUGAAGAGUAUAGAGAGAAAGUGGAGAGCUGCAAUGGCAGCAGCCUUGCUGCCAUUGCAGCAGCUGCAAGUGCAGCAAGAGAGCUGGGAGUUGAGUUUGAGUGAAGUGAUCCUCCUCCUCCAUGUAUUGUGUUGUAAUCCUUUCUCUAUCUCUAAAUAAUAUGGACUCUCUCCCGUGGAUGUAGGCGGUUUUGCCGAACCACGUAAAAUAUUGUGUCAGUGUGCUUUAUCCCUCCUAUGAGAAAAUAUCAGUACACCCCCGGUCCGCGCAUGGGGGAGCCGGAAUCCCCAACAUGAUAUACAUGUGACAUCAUAAAAGUUUAGAUAUAUGUGGCCUUAAAAUGUUCGAUCCAUGAUUUCUUCAUGAAAUUAACAUAAAAUUUGGUAGCCUUAUGAAAUUAGAUUUUCUUGGUGGUGAUGGUGGCAUUUCUACCGUAAAAUAGUUUUAAC
rnacentral:lncRNA from 1 species